ACAAACACAUUGAAGCACAACAAACUUUAUUCCAUUAUACAUCAUCCAUUUAGUGUAACAUCUGUGCGUUGUAAGUCAAUGGAUUAAUGGGUUUAAUAUCUGUAUUUUAUUAUUGAGACCCUUUUUGGAUGGCAUAUCAUUGUAUUGAGCGAGUGAAAUUUGCUCUAUACUUGAUAAGAAUGUUCAUCCGCAUUCAAAUAUGUCAGAAAGGAGAUUUAGAACGUUGAAAUUUUGAUCUGGGUGUGGAUGCUGAGCUCCUAGGUGUCGACACUUGCAUCCCUCUCAUUUUUCUUCGGCUUUCUGUUUUUGGGUGUUGACACCCUCUCUUCCUAGUGUUGACACCCUCUGGCCUGGAGUGACUCGGGUGCAUUCUGCUUAGAAGUGUCAACACUUGGGCAAUUUGGGGUCGGCACUGCCUGACCUUUGGGUGCACUAGUGCACACUGCUUCUGAAUGUCAACACCUAGGCUCUAUGGUGUCGACACUCCACCUGUGUUGAACCUGUUUUACUGCACCAUCAUACAUGGGUGUCAACACCCCUCCCUGUGAUGGCAACACUUGACAUAAACCCAAAGACAAAUUUGCCAUGUUUUACGCCACACUUUGAAAUUUUUUGACUUUAUAUUUUAUUUAAUCUUGGACCCAACUAUCCAUUUUAUCCUUCCACUAUAAAUAGAAAUACUAUCUAAUUUUUCUCAAUUUCUCUCAUUCACUCUCUCACCUCUCCUGAUCUCUCUCUCUCUCUCUCCCCCCAUUGUUAGAGUUCCAAGCUCUUCAAGGUUGCGUUUCAUGUACUUAGAGGUGAAAUCAACCCUUAGUCCAUGAGGAUAAAAGUUAGAUCACAUCAAGAGCUAUGUUUGGGACCAAUUAGAUCCUGUUUUCGCCGUCAUCGAAGUUUGGGUCUUCAACUCUUAUUUUCUCUUUCAUCUUUGAGGCGAGGAUGAUGUGAAUCCAUCCCAUUGACUAGACGGGGGAGACAUUUUGAUGGAGCAUGGAGGCUCUUUUGGUGUUUUUCUGCUACAGCUGUAAAGUUUAAUUGCUUCCAGUUAGUGUUUUAAAUUUUUGUGUAAUUAAAGCCAAAGCCUUAAAAGAUGUAAACCAUUAGGGUGUCUUUAUUUGUAUCUCUCUAGCUCAUUGAACUGCUGUUGUAUUUAUUCUGUAUGUUGGAAAGAUUCUAAUGUAACUUGAAUAUGUAUCACUUUUGGGAAGUUCAAUGAGACUUUUGGGUCACGAGAUUGUUAUGUUC